CAGCAGCACCUCGACCCCUCCCGUGAGAUAGCCAGCAGCAGCAGCAGCGAUCUUGUCCACGUCCUCAUGGAGGAGGACCACAAACACCAAGGGUCUCUCAUGAGGUUCAGUACGUACAGACCAUAUCAAAGCACUACUGUCGGAGCUCAGUUACCAUGGUCUGGGCGAUGGCGGAGCUGAUCCGAAAGCCGCAAGUGCUCAAGAAAGUGCAGGAUGAGAUCAGGGCCGUGGUGGGUGACAAAGAGAGGGUGCAGCCUGAUGACAUGCCCAAGCUCAAGUACCUCAACAUGGUGGUGAAGGAAACGCUGUGGCUACACCCGGCAUAUACUACCUCCGUUCAUAGAUAUAGCUUGUCCUAAACGUCAUGUAUUUAUAGACGGAGGAAGCACGUAAGUUCAACUUAACGCUUAGUGAGCUAUGUGUUUAACAUAGAAAUAAAUAGUCUCAUCUCUUCGUGCAUAUAUGUAUAUGUGGUCUAUGACACACAUCAUGCAUAUAAGUUAGGCAAAAUUAGCUCCCGGACAUCGUUCAAUCGUGGUUUUUGCCACAGGACACUAAAAAAGAGUGGUUUUGCUAGAACACACUCUUUAACUACGGCUGCUGCGACACCUACCGACGCCCCGCGCGCAGCCCCUCUUGAAGAACAAGCACGGUUGGCUGAGGAUAGAAGAUGGAGACCCCCAUGAUUCCUCAGCGAGAUUUUCCCGCAGGAUCAGGCUGAUCUCUCAUGGGUUCCUUUCCCGCAGGAUCAGGCUGAUCUCUCAUGGGUUCCUGAUGGGAUGGAUGCCAGUUCAGCCUACAGACUUGCUAUGCGUGUAGGUGCUUAUGUGAAACUAAGUGAUGAUGGCACUCGUAUGUAUUGUGAUGCUUGUAACAUUCCAAGGAUUUUAGACAGGAAUAGCACAAAUUGGAAUGAUUUGCUUGUUGACAUUGGUACACAACUAACAUAGCUGAAACAUUCAACAGCUGGAUUAGGCAUGAAAAAUCCCUGCAUGUUGUUGAUCUUAUGGAUAGGAUCAGACAAUUAUGCAUGGAGAAAAUGUUCUUAAGAAGAAAAAUUGCUAAGAAGCUUGAAGAUAAGAUACUGCCAAAUGUGAUGAAGGACCUUAAUGCAAGGAGCAGGGGGCUGAAAUAAGGUGAAAUGUUAGGUGAAGUUGAAGGUGUUACAAGAGAUCUAGUUCAUUGGAGGCAUACCGUUGAUCUUCAGGAGAGGAAGCGUACCUGUAGGCGCUGGCAAGUUAUGGUCUGCCAUGUACACAUGCCUUGUGUAUUAUAACCUCAAUUUGAGGUAAUAUUGAAGACUGUGUUCAUGACUACUAUUUUGUGGCAAAGUUCAAGAAAGCCUAUGAAAAGUCUGUGAAGCCAAUGACAGAUAGUAAACAGUGGCUUCAAGUUAAUGUUGUGGCCUCCACUUCUGAAAAGGGCACCAGGUCAACCAAGGGAGAGAAGGUACAAAUUAGCUGCAAAAGGGGACUCUGGAAAGAGAACCACAAGUAGCCCUGUUCAUGGGUUCAGGGAAACCGGGAACCAGCCCGCACCCAACCCUGCUGGACCUGUCAUUCCGGUUCCUAGCGCGGGUUGGACCCCGACCUGCGUGGACCCGGAUGAAGCAAGCGGGGGUCAGCUGGUUUGUGGUUUUAACCUGUCAAACCCAUCGAGGCCAGCAUCAAGGGGGAAAAAAAGGGGUGGUGACGGCGAAGAUGCUACACGACGGUGUCGCUCAAGGCCUUGAGCUGGAGGCCGCGCUGGCGGCCGAAUCAGCAUUGCGGCUGCGGGAAGCGGUUGCCUCCAUGGGUGGGUCCCUCGAAAUGGACAUCGACUCGCCGCCACUUCUCACCGUGGAGCUCGUCGGCGACGGGUCAAUCCCCACUCCCGAUCCAUCCAGGCUGAACAAGGAUGGUGAAGACCGAUCUUUGGAGAUUGAAUAGGUUAAUUGCUAUGCAGAAAAGGUUAUCGGAAGCAAAUAGGGAACCAUUGCCAACUCAAAUGAGGAAGAGAACAAGAUUAACUUCAUCAGUUAAUACACCAAAUAUUCAGUC